UUUAAUUCGAAGCAACGCGAAGAACCUUACCGGGUCUUGACAUCCCGAAUGACCGGUGAGUAAUGUCACCUUUCCUUCGGGACAUUCGAGACAGGUGGUGCAUGGUUGUCGUCAGCUCGUGUCGUGAGAUGUUGGGUUAAGUCCCGCAACGAGCGCAACCCUUAUCUUCAGUAGCCAGCGGUUCGGCCGGGCACUCUGGAGAGACUGCCAGGGAUAACCUGGAGGAAGGUGGGGAUGACGUCAAAUCAUCAUGCCCCUUAUGGGCAGGGCUACACACGUGCUACAAUGGCGUAAACAAAGGGAGGCAAUACUGCGAAGUUGAGCAAAUCCCAAAAAUAACGUCUCAGUUCGGAUUGUAGUCUGCAACUCGACUACAUGAAGCUGGAAUCGCUAGUAAUCGCGAAUCAGAAUGUCG
rnacentral:rRNA from 1 species